rnacentral:rRNA from 1 species
UACGAAGGGGGCGAGCGUUGUUCGGAUUUACUGGGCGUAAAGGGCGCGUAGGCGGCGGGUCAAGUCGAGUGUGAAAUCUCCUGGCUUAACUGGGAGGGUGCGGUGGAAACUGGGGUGCUUGAGUGUGGGAGAGGUAAGCGGAAUUCCUGGUGUAGCGGUGAAAUGCGUAGAUAUCAGGAGGAACACCGGUGGUGUAGACGGCUUACUGGACCACGACUGACACUGAGGCACGAAAGCGUGGGUAGCAAACAGG